rnacentral:misc_RNA from 1 species
GAUGAAGAACGCAGCGAAAUGCGAUAAGUAAUGUGAAUUGCAGAAUUCAGUGAAUCAUCGAAUCUUUGAACGCACAUUGCGCCCGCCAGUAUUCUGGCGGGCAUGCCUGUUCGUGCGUCAUUUCAACCAUCAAGCCCCAGGCUUGUGUUGGGGACCUGCGGCUGCCGCAGGCCCUGAAAACCAGUGGCGGGCUCGCUGUCACACCGGGCGUAGUAGAUUUUAUCUCGCUCAGGGCGUGCUGCGGGUUCCGGCCGUUAAAAAGCCUUUUUUACCCAAGGUUGACCUCGGAUCAGGUAGGAAGACCCGCUGAACUUAAGCAUAUCAAUAAGCGGAGGA